CAGGAAGUACACAUAGCCAGAUGUGUCUCUUGCGAUCACCAUCCCCUGGCCGGCAUCCACCUGCGUAACGUUGUACAUCCCCGUGCCCUCGUCGCAGUUCCAGGCUGUUGAGAAGACAAAAUCACAGUUGCUAAUGAGUGUCGCCACUAACUGACUUGAGCAGCCCGUGCACGAGUGCCAUAGUGGACAGCUACUAGCCCCUUUGAAUUCUAUGCUGUACGCUAUCCUGUGUCAGCCAGCCAGCCGGUCGUAUCUACGGACUGAGUGGAUCCUCUUCUGUGGAGUCCGCCAUGUUGCAAUCCUGGGGAGUUUAGUCGGUUGCAAUCUGCAAUAUAGUCUGGCUCUGAGGCCAAAACAAAUAAGUGACGCACAUGUAAGUAAUAAACUAAAAGAAAUGAA